GUUUUCAGUUCUGUUUCAGUCAACCUGAAAGAGCAGUGAAGAUAAGUUACUCAGCAACAAGUUGUUCCUGAAAAGCAGCGAAAACACAUCCCUGAAGAUUAAGUAAUUCAUAUUUUCUACAGUGAAAGUGUUGAAUAUCAGCAAUGGCUUCUAUGGGUUUAACGGCACUUGGCUUUGCACCAGAAGGUUUCAGCACUGUUACUGAUGCUCCAAGGCAAGGAGAUCUGUAUAUGGUGAAAUGUGGCAGCAGUAGUGACGGAUCUGGUCUAGGAUACUACCAUGCUGGAGUUUACUGCAGUGAAGAGGAUGAGGAGAUCAUUCACUUCACAAUAUCUGUUCUGAGCCCUUGUGCAUCAAUAAUUAGCUCUCUGGCUCAAUGACAUCAAUGAUGGCAAGCUGUCCUGGCUUAGAUGCAGCAACACAGGCCCAAAGCAUGAUACUACCACCACUAUGUUUUACAGACGAUUCAUCCCUUCGGUCAAGCUUUUCAUUGUCCAACUCCAGUUCUGGUCCAGGCAUUAUAAGCAAAGUGCAUGUGAAGAAUUUCCUUGGAGAAUACAAAUUUGCAAUUUAUAGGAAAAAUGAAGGAAUCCCGAUAACAUUCAGAGAAAAAGUUAGAAAUGCAAUGCAGAAAAAACAGGAAUAUGAUAUUUUGGACUACAACUGUAUCCAUUUUGCCAUGGAGCUACUAAAUGUUGACAAACAGGGUAUAGACGACUACAUUAAAAGAAUGGGAAAAAUCAUUAAAAACAUAAGUAAAAGCCAGGAGAUGCAGCCAUUGCCGGUAUAGAGCAUAAGAGGCAUAAGAGGUUGCUAAAAAAACCACAUUGUGAUUCUUUUAGAAAAAAGUUGAUAUGGUGUAAAAAUUUGCGGUUUAAUUACUUGACUAAAUUAAUAAUCAUUUCUAUACUAUACAAACCCUAUUUCCAGAAAAGUAGGGAGACUUUCUAAAAAUGCAAUAAAAUCUAACAUCUGUAAUUGGUUAUGAACUUGAACUUUUCUUGCUUUAUUUUUUAUAUACUAAAACACAAUAAGUGAAUAAAUAAAUAAAUAAAUAAAUAAAUAAUAAAACUGUUAACCACAAGAUGACUGACCACAUCCUGUGUGGUCCUGUAAGCUAAUAGGAUGAGGAUAGGAGAAAAUGGAGUUGGAGGAUUCACAGAUCCCCCUCGACCUCGACUUAAAACUAAGAUACAGCCUAUAUACACUCUAGGAGAAAUUCCUAUUCAAAAACAACGUGAACAAAAACGGUUCAGAAAGGAAAAGAAAAAGAGGCGUAGAGAAGCUAAACGCCAAAAUAAAGAGGAACAGGAGCAGCUUCUGUUUGCCAAUAAACUUCUAAAAAUAGGAAAUUUGGUUAACAGACAUGAAACAAUUGAAUAUGAAUUAAAUACAAUUAUAAUUCCAAUUGCCAUAAAUGCUACUGCAAGACUGCAGAGGAUCAGAUGCUGUACCUAGACAGCUGGAAGAAGAUUCCAACUGACUAAGAUUUAUGUAAUAAUAAGUUUUAUUUUUCAGAUGUUCAAGAGAACUCUAAACACUUUUAUUUUGAUUUAUAUGUGUCUUUUACUAUAAUGAAAUGUACAUUCAGAAGCAAGAAUGUUAUUAUCUUUGAAAUUGUUAUGGCACCCUACAGUAUAUAUUUAAAGGGCAAUUUAGAAAUGACUCAUUUAACGCUCCUCGAUGCACAAUGUUUUGAAAAUAUUAGGUUAUGACUUCCUGGCACAUAUCACAGAGCGUGCCUUGAAAGGUUGGAAAAGGGUCAACCACAAUAUUGUGUGUACCACACUGUGCCUUGGAAAUUGUUGGAAAAAGAAUAUAUACAGUAAGCUUUCCUUGUUGUAGGAAGGUGUGCAUUCUACUAUAGGCAAGCUUCUGCUUAGUUACUUUUCUACAUUUGCAUUGCUUAAGUAUUGUGUAUCAGAGAACAAACGCAGGCUAAUACUUUGAGAAUAUUUCUAGGUUUGUUACUAUCUUUGCAUUUUAAUUCCUUUUACUUAUGCUAGAAUUGUUUGAUUAUUUGAAGGAGAUUUUAUUUGUAAUUUUCUUUUCUUUUCUUUACAUAUAUUACAUACACUUAUUUGUAUUACAUUGCUUUAAAUAAAAACAAGGCCUCCCAUUGUGAGGACCCUGAAAAGACAAGAA